UACGUAGGGGGCAAGCGUUGUCCGGAUUUAUUGGGCGUAAAGAGCGUGUAGGCGGCCAUACAGGUCCGUUGUGAAAACUCGAGGCUCAACCUCGAGAUGUCGGCGGAAACCGUCUGGCUAGAGUCCGGAAGAGGAGAGUGGAAUUCCUGGUGUAGCGGUGAAAUGCGCAGAUAUCAGGAAGAACACCUAUGGCGAAGGCAGCUCUCUGGGACGGUACUGACGCUGAGACGCGAAAGCGUGGGGAGCGAACAGG
rnacentral:rRNA from 1 species